AGCGAACGCUGGCGGCAGGCCUAACACAUGCAAGUCGAGCGGGCAUCUUCGGAUGUCAGCGGCAGACGGGUGAGUAACACGUGGGAACGUACCCUUCGGUUCGGAACAACUCUGGGAAACUGGAGCUAAUACCGGAUACGCCCUUAUGGGGAAAGGUUUACUGCCGAAGGAUCGGCCCGCGUCUGAUUAGCUAGUUGGUGGGGUAACGGCGUACCAAGGCGACGAUCAGUAGCUGGUCUGAGAGGAUGAUCAGCCACACUGGGACUGAGACACGGCGCAGACUACUACGGGAGGCGGCAGUGGGGAAUAUUGGACAAUGGGCGCAAGCAUGAACCAGCCAGGCCGCGUGAGUGAUGAAGGCCUUAAGGUUGUAAAGCUCUUUUGUCCGGGACGAUAAUGACGGUACCGGAAGAAUAAGCCCCGGCUAACUUCGUG
rnacentral:rRNA from 1 species